GUGUCAGCAGCCGCGGUAAUACGGAGGGUGCAAGCGUUAUCCGGAUUCACUGGGUUUAAAGGGUGCGUAGGUGGCUUUGUAAGUCAGUGGUGAAAGCCCGGAGCUUAACUCCGGAACUGCCAUUGAUACUGCUUAGCUUGAAUCAGGUCGAGGUGGAUGGAAUAUUACAUGUAGCGGUGAAAUGCUUAGAUAUGUAAUAGAACACCGAUUGCGAAGGCAGUUCACUAGGCCUGAAUUGACACUGAGGCACGAAAGCGUGGGGAUCAAACAGGAUUAGAAACCCCCGUAGUCC
rnacentral:rRNA from 1 species